GUCAGUUGGGCACCUUCUUCCUCUCUCCCUUCCCGCUUAUUCUGAGUGGCGGGGAUUAGCGGUGUUUGCCCCUGGAUAAAAUCUGAGAAGCCCUCCCUGGAGGGUGAAUAAUCGGCCACAGGAGGACUAGAGCUCCUCAGAGAAUCACCCCACCUUGGAGAAGCUGAGCAGAGCUGGUGGUGACUCCUCUGGAAUUCCACGGCAGAUACGGAGGGAAGGAAAAAGGACCAUGUGUCUAAAAACCCUAAUGGGAUCCACCCCAAAUUUUGGCAACAAGAUGGGGGAGGUCACCAGCCUUCCUGACUUCUUCCUGCCUAGAAUGAAACGUGGCCGUUGGAAUGCCCUGCCAACUUCACAUAGCACACAAGUAAGUCCCCCUUUUGGAGAAAGGGCUAGUUGGGGAAGCAAAGCAACACAAUUCAGAGGAGGGCUUAGCCAGCUGCCUGGAUGCUAGUCAACAGGUCUUUGUCACGUCUGAUCAAGACAAAAGUGAAAAGGCAAAAUGACCAACAUAAAAAGUAAGGAAGGAAGGCUAUUUUGUGUAAAUAAAUUUGAAAACUUAGAUGAAAGGGGAGGUUUUCUAGAAAAUACACAUGGUUGUAUUUGACUGACGAGGACGUAGAAAACCUGGAUAGACCAAUACCCAGAGAAAACACUGGAAGGAGGCAAGGAUCAGCCUUAGAAAGGCGCCCGUCCUACGUGGUUUGAUAGAAGAUUGCAAGAAAAUCGGAAAGGCAUCCAAACAGAUGCCUUAUGGAACUUGAUUGGAAGAUACUGAAGUUCAUCUGAAAGAGAAGGUGCAGAAGAACGUCGAGAAAAGUUGAAAAAAGAACAAUUGCAUACCAAAACAAAGUUAUGUUAACCGAAACAGUGUAGCAUUGUAAGAAGAAUAGAAAAAGAGAAGUGGGGAAAAAAGAUUUGUAAACAAACCGAUUACGUAUGAGAAUUUAAUUUAAUUUAUAGGAAAGGUAGAUUUUAAAAUCUGUGGGUAAAUAUUAAUCAAUUCCACCAUUGAUAAGACAAUUGGCUAUUCAUUUAGAAAAAUAUAGAGUUGGCUCCCAACUUACAACAUAGAUGUACACAAAUAAUUCUAGACUGCUUAAAAAGUUAAACCUUUAAAAAAUAUAUCAAUAUACUUAUAAGUUAGAGAAUUUUUUAAUAGUCUUGGUGUGGUAGAGAACUUCCUAAGCAAUAAACAGUAUCUAGAAAUUAUAAAAGAAAAGACUAACAGUGUUGACUGCUUGGAAAAUUAAAAUUUCAUGUGAUAAAAACAUCAUAAACAAAGUUAAAUCUGGGAAAUAUUUGUAAAAUAUAUAAUGACAGAUGAAUAAAUAUUUCCUACUAAUUGAUUUUUUAAAAAUGGGAUAAAAGCUUCAAGAGAAGAAAAGACCAUAUAUGAAUAGACAAUUUAAAGAAGAAGAAAUAUAAAUGACCAAUGAACAUAUAAUGAGAUGCCCACACUCACUAAUGAUCAGGGGACCACUAAUUGUAACAAGAGAAAGAGAUGCUAUUUUUACUCUUCAGAUUAGCAAAAAUUAAAAAAAGAAUUGUUGAUAUCCAGGGUUAGCAAGGUUGUAUGAAAAUGGACAUUCUCAUACACUAUUGCAGGAAUGAAAUUAUUACAGCUUUUUCUGGAGGACCCUUUUGUAAUAUUUAUGUUUUUUUGAUAGAGAAGAAAUAUCCUCAUAUGAGCAUGAAGAAAUAGGUACAAACAUAGUCAUCACAAUAUUUUUUAAUAGUGAAAAAAUCGAAAAUAACAAAUAUCCACCAAUAGAGGAAUGAUUUAGUUAUGUUACAUCUGUAAUAGGGAAUGCUAUGCAGAACUUUAAGAUAAAUCUAUAUGUAUUGAUGUGGACCCAUCUGCGAUACAUAUCUGUAAAUUUAAAAAAGCAAUGUUCUGUUUAAUCUUUAUACUUUGAUCCCAAUUAUGUUAGAAGAAAAACUCCCAAACUAUUUAUUUUUAUGUGAAUUCAUAUAUGUAAAUACAUAGAAAUACAUCCAGAAGGAUACAUAACACAUUGUUAAUGGUAAUUUUGAGAAAGCAAGUUGGAUUGUUGUAGGAGGAGGUGUUAAAAGGGGAUUCUGUUUUUUUUUACUGAGCCUAUGUAUUUUUAAAUAAUAUUUUGUUAAGUAAUGUAUUUUAAAAUAAUGAGUAUAUAUUUAUGCAUUAAUUCAAGUUGCGGAGAAAUACAUAUAAACCAUGAUCCUACUCAGGUAAAAAAGUAAUUCAAGAGUUGUGUGAAACGGACCUUUGACUUUGUCAUCCAUAAGAUCUGAAUUACUAGAUUUUCUUUUACAAUAAAAAUGCAUGUGUGUAUUAUUUGUAUACCUUUAAAAAUUAAUUCGUUAAAAAUGUGUAACUUUAGGGGCCAGCCUGGUGGUGCAGCAGUUAGGGUCGCACACUCUACAUUGGUGGCCUGGGAUUUGCCAGUUCAGAUCCCUGGUGUGGACCUAUGCACUGUUUAUCAAGCCAUGCUGUGCCAGGCGUCCCACGUAUAAAAUAGUGGAAGAUGGGCACAGAUGUUAGCCCAGGGCCAAUCUUCCUUAGCAAAAAGAGGAGGAUUGGCAGUGGAUGUUAGCUCAGGGCUAAUCUUCCUCAAAGAAAAAAAAAAAAAUAUAUAUAUAUAUAUAUAUAUAAUUUUAAUAUACAAGACAUAUUGUUAAGUGACAAAACAAAAACAAAUUGUAGAACAAUACUUACAGUAGGAUCCUCCAAAGAAAAAGUUCUGAAAGUUUACACACUGGA
ensembl:lncRNA